UUUGUUUUCAAUGUUCACUUUAUUGGAGUUCCCGUCGUGGCACAGAGGAAACAAAUCUGACUAGGAACCAUGGGGUUGCAGGUUCAAUCCCUGGCCUUGCUCAGUGGGUUAAGGAUCCGGAGUUGCUGUGGCUGUGGUGUAGGCUGGAGCUAUAGCUCCGAUCGGACCCCUAGCCUGGGAACCUCCAUAUGCCAUGGGUGUGGCCCUAAAAAGUCGAAAGACCAAAUAAAUAAAUGUUCAUUUUAUUUUUCAUCUUUUCUAGGGCCGCACCUGUGGCAUAUGGAGGUUCACAGGCUAUGGGUCUAAUUAGAGCUGUGGCCACCAGCCUAUGCCAGAGCCACAGCAACGCUGGAUCCAAGCUGCAUCUGCGACCUACACCACAGCUCACGGCAAGGCCAGGGAUGGAACCUGCAACCUCAUGGUUCCUAGUCAGAUUUGUUAACCACUGAGCCACGACAGGAACUCCAUGUUGUGAGGUUUAAAGAGAUGAGGCAAACACAGCAGUUGGGUUCCACUCUGAAGGCCCUGAAGAGGGGGACUGAGGAGCUGCCAGGAGUCUGCAUCUAGAUCAGCCAGUUCCCAGCCAAGGAGGAAGCUGGGGACAGGGGUAGGGGUGAGGUCCUGAGGGGCAGGAAGCUCACAGAAGAUCUGACUGGGUGGCAGGGGAAGUGAAUCCACGAGUCAAAGGGGCCCUGCCCAGAGGCAGCUCUGCUCCUCGGCGCUGGGUGGACACAGUGUCCUGGCUUCUCCCUGUCUCCAUAGGCUGCUGAGGGAUGAGGUGUUCAACUAUUGUUUCAGAGAACACCCAUGGAGCCAGGUGCUGGGAUGGGCAGUUUUUACACAUUUUGUCUUCAUUAAUCCUCACAGCGAUCUACAUAAGAUGGGCAUUAUUAUCCCCACGAUAUAGUGGAGCCCCUGGAGGCUCAGAGAGGUGGUCAGGCAGCCGGUGAGAAGAACUGGGUCUUGAUGAGUCUAGAUGACUCCAAGCACAGUGCUCUCUGGCCUGUAGCAACACCUUGGUUCUGUCGGGCCAUCUACCUGCCUCCUGCCAGCCCCUGAGCUAGGUUCUGGGAAAGUCUCAUGAACAGCAACAGAUGCCAUCUCAACUUCACCCAAGUCACAUUCUCAGUGGGAGAUGCUGACAGACAACUGGGCAGUUAGGGAAGAGCACGUUCAGUGCUAUCUGAGGUGAAAUCCCCAGGACCAAGCAGACCCUGAAGAGGAUCAGGUCGCAUACAGGUGAUCUGGUGAGGCCUACUGGUGAGUCAUGGCAGAGAAACAUGAGGGCCCAUUGAAGCCCCCGCCCUGAAAUCUGGGGAAUGUGGUUAGUUUACUCCCCCAAAGUCAGGCCAAUAGCAAGGCUAGGUAUAAGUGGCAUCUACAAGGAGGCCCUUCCCACCUCCCUCCUUUGUUCCCUUGGGCACCACCUCUCACCAGAGCCCCAGGUCCCUUAGUAUAGCAGUUCCCACUGGGGAUGUAUGAAAACAGGAUUAACAGGGAAGCGCCAGCUUUGAACUUGCCUCUCUCCCAUGGGCAUGGCAAGCCCAGCCCCCUAUUCUCCAUCCCCUGGUGGGUCUGGGAUCUCUGGAGAGCAGUGGGGGAACCAGGCACACUGAGGCCUGUCCUCUACUACGCUGAUUAUAUCUUCCCACAUCGCCCACAACUUCCUCUCGAUUGAAGUCAGCAAAAGCCUGCCCUGGUUCAACUGCCUUGCCUUCCUUAUAAUUCUCAGUGUCAGGAAACAACCUCCCCUUGCUCACACAACGAUCCCCCUUUUCAUCUCCUUUGUAAGAGGAGGAAUAUCUCUUACCUACCUCUCCUCCCUUCUUCAGGGAAUGAUCAUGUAGAUGUGCUCUAGACCUGGGUAUAUUCCUAACAGGCUUGCCCUUUGGUGGCAUCUCAGAAGCUGAGACUGCAAUCCAGUCUGGCUUAUGGGAAGCCCCCAAAGUCUCCAUGCUAUGACAGUGGCCCACUGCACUGGCCCUAGCAAGUUCCAAUUUUGUCUUACUUUCUCCACCUGUGAGCUCCCUCUCCUGAGCAGGGGAGAGAGACCUCAGGAAGAUACACAGGAGCUCAGAGGGAGAAUCAGAGAUGCUGACUUUAUAUACAAAAUGGCUUUAUUAAAAAUUCAGCUAUUGGGAAAACAAAGCCUUCUCAAAGGUUCUAUCAAAAAAUACAAAUUUUAAAUAAAUGCACUAAAAAAGUGGCAGCAAGAUACACUAGCCACACAGGGAUCUUUGGAUGCUGCAGGGCCAGAUCCUGGUGCUACCAGGCAAGGGCCCUUUCAGUUUUCCUUUCCUUGGAAAAAUGAAAAGAAUCUGGCAAGUGUAGGAAAUUCUAAGUCUGAAGUAGAAAGAUACAAAAGUCAUUCAUAAGGCACGACUUCGGACUCCAGCCCUGAGGCGCAUGGAAGUGAUGAAUGGGCCACAGGGAUCCCAGCUCUGGUAGACCUCCUGAGUUUGGCCACAGGUUUAAAAUAAGGUGGACUAAGUGGACUGCACAAUCCAGGCAAGCAGGGCCCUGCCGCCAAUCUUUAGGACAGAUGUGUUGCUUCACUGGCAAACUGGAAUCUGGCUCUGCCAGGGCAAGAAGGAUCACACUGGCCCCCCAAGAAACCUCCCCUUUGGAGAGCACCAGAUCACCUGUCCAACCCUGUCCUCUGAGCCACUGUGGGCACCCACCCUGGACAAGGAACAUCCAAAGGCAGUCUUUUCCAUCUGGAGAAGCCCCAGGCCCCAGAGCCAGGGUUUCUUUGUAUGGCAGAUGGUAACACAGAAACUGGCAUUGUCAAAACCAGUCCCCAGCAGCUCCUGGCCCACACCCAUGGUUACUGAUGACAGGCCUCCCUGGUGACAUUAGGCAGUGGGUAGGCAAACAGGGAGAAGUCCAGGAUAUACUUAGGUAACACAUCCUGCAGCACGGCCCUGGGGGCACUGCACAGGUGGUAGUGCAGGCUUUCUGGGCUAGCCGGCCGGUACCAGGCCUGGCGAGCUGGAAAUCGGACAUGGGGCGGUGCCCGCACCCACUCCAGCACCUGGUUGGCGUCUGCCUCCAGCCUCUCAUAGGAACCCACAAAGUCGUAGCGCACGGCACAAGGCUGACAGAGGUGAUACACGGGCAUCCAGUGCUCAUUCAUGCGCUCGGGGUCCUCAGAGAAGGCGUUCCAAGGGGUCUCGCACAAACAGGAACUUGAAGUAGUGCUGCAGGCGGUAGCGAAUCUCGUCAGGCCGUAGGUCGGCCAGGAACACCAAGUCGCUGCGGUGGUCCAUCUUGAGGCGGACGUCCACGUUGUCCAGGACACCCGCCAGCACCUUCAGCACCCGCUUCCAGUUCGAGCAAGCCACCUUGGGCACGUAGCAGUAGAGGAAGCGGUAACGGUCACUCACGAGGAUGUGGCGCAGCAGGGUGCGCCGCUGUCCCACCGGCAAGUCCCAGGGGUCCCGGGGCAUGCCUGGUUGUCCGCACACUGCCCUCAAGGUCCGGUUCCGGACGUCUUGCCUCACCUGCAAGUCCGAGUCCCCGGCAUCGAGGAGCAGCCCCCCAGACCUGGGGACCGUCUCGCGCCACACCGCGCCCUCGCGGUUGGGAGGGUGCAGAGGAAGGGGCUUCAUCUCGGCCAGGAUGCCCCGCUCGAUCAUGAGCAGCAGCCCGCUGGAGGCCACGAUCACGGCGAACAUCAGCAUGGACGGCAGCAGCAGGGGCGGCGCCCCCAGCCCGGCCCGGGCCCUGCCCGAGGGGACCCGCCUCAGCGCCCUGCCCAGGGGCUCGGCGCCAUUUGGGGCCGCCAGCGGGGUCAGCGGGCGGGGGAACAUCGUGCUCCCGGGACGGGGGCCUGCGCGGGCCCGGCCGACCUGAGGGCUGUACGGGAGGCGAGCUCGGUCUAGGGGCGGGCCCGAGGGCUGGGGACCGUGCAGCCAGGAGAGGGGAGGGAAUGGGAGCGCUGGUGGGAGGCCCCGGCGCGAGGGGGUGGCCGACUCCCGGGCUGCGGCGCCGGAGCGGGCGGCGGGCGGCGGGCGCGGCGAGGGACCUGGGCCGGAU
rnacentral:lncRNA from 1 species